GACGAACGCUGGUGGCGUGCUUAACACAUGCAAGUCGAACGGAAAGACCCUGCUUUUGUGGGGUGCUCGAGUGGCGAACGGGUGAGUAACACGUGAGUAACCUGCCCUUGACUUUGGGAUAACUUCAGGAAACUGGGGCUAAUACCGGAUAGGAGCUCCUGCUGCAUGGUGGGGGUUGGAAAGUUUCGGCGGUUGGGGAUGGACUCGCGGCUUAUCAGCUUGUUGGUGGGGUAGUGGCUUACCAAGGCUUUGACGGGUAGCCGGCCUGAGAGGGUGACCGGCCACAUUGGGACUGAGAUACGGCCCAGACUCCUACGGGAGGCAGCAGUGGGGAAUAUUGCACAAUGGGCGGAAGCCUGAUGCAGCAACGCCGCGUGCGGGAUGACGGCCUUCGGGUUGUAAACCGCUUUCGCCUGUGACGAAGCGUGAGUGACGGUAAUGGGUAAAGAAGCACCGGCUAACUACGUG
rnacentral:rRNA from 1 species